CCGGCUUGCCCGUGUGACCUGGGCGAAAGCCCGAGCCACAUGGGCUACCGAAGCGAAGGGUACCGCGUCAGGCUGUGUUCACGGAGCAGCGACAAGCCGG
rnacentral:SRP_RNA from 15 species